rnacentral:rRNA from 1 species
AUUGAACGCUGGCGGCAUGCCUUACACAUGCAAGUCGAACGGCAGCACGGGGGGUAACCCCUGGUGGCGAGUGGCGAACGGGUGAGUAAUAUAUCGGAACGUGUCCUGUAGCGGGGGAUAACCUAUCGAAAGAUGGACUAAUACCGCAUACGACCUACGGGUGAAAGCGGAGGACCGCAAGGCUUCGCACUAUAGGAGCGGCCGAUAUCGGAUUAGCUAGUUGGCGGGGUAACGGCCCACCAAGGCGACGAUCCGUAGCUGGUCUGAGAGGACGAUCAGCCACACUGGAAGUGAGACACGGUCCAGACUCCUACGGGAGGCAGCAGUGGGGAAUGUUGGACAAUGGGCGCAAGCCUGAUCCAGCCAUGCCGCGUGAGUGAAGAAGGCCUUCGGGUUGUAAAGCUCUUUCGGCGGGGACGAAACGGUUCGUGCUAAUACCACGGACUACUGACGGUACCCGCAGAAGAAGCACCGGCUAACUACGUG